rnacentral:rRNA from 1 species
UACAGAGGGGGCAAGCGCUGUUCGGAAUUACUGGGCGUAAAGGGCGCGUAGGCGGCCUCCUAAGUCGGACGUGAAAUCCCCGAGCUCAACUCGGGAACUGCGUCCGAUACUGGUUGGCUUGAAUCCGGGAGAGGGAUGCGGAAUUCCAGGUGUAGCGGUGAAAUGCGUAGAUAUCUGGAGGAACACCGGUGGCGAAGGCGGCAUCCUGGACCGGCAUUGACGCUGAGGCGCGAAAGCCAGGGGAGCAAACGGG